rnacentral:rRNA from 1 species
UACGGAGGGUGCAAGCGUUGUCCGGAAUUAUUGGGUGUAAAGGGUGCGCAGGCGGAAGCCUAAGUCGAGGGUGAAAGACGACCGCUUAACGGUCGCAGUGCCUUCGAUACUGGGUUUCUUGAGUCCGGAAGAGGUUGGUGGAAUUCGUGGUGUAGCGGUGAAAUGCAUAGAGAUCACGAAGAACACCAGUGGCGAAGGCGGCCAACUGGUCCGGUACUGACGCUGAGGCACGAGAGCGUGGGGAGCGAACAGG